UCAUUUAUUUAAAAUUCAUACUUAUUCAUUCAUAUGCCAUAGCUGUGUGUAGUACCCCCCCUUUACCGGUGGCUUUCGUAUCUUUUUCUGUGUUAUCAAUUAUAUAGGGUUAUAAGUUGAUUUGAACUUGUACUUACCGAGUUGCUUGUUCUCCAUCUGAUCCGUGUGAGCUAUUGCGGUUGUGUUGUGUCGAGACGUAAACAUCCAAUAAGAGAAGCAACCAAGCAACAUGGAAAACACACCACGCAAGAUUGUGGUGCUCAAUAUGAGAGACGGAAAAUAUGUUUUUCCGAGAAGCCGCAGCCUACAGCUUCCUCAUUACAACCAACACUACAUCCAGAUUUUAUAAAAACACUACCGACGGCAAAAAAUACAUCCAAGAACAUCCAACCUGCAACAAACAUCGUUCACCGCAAUGUUCCCGCAUCCAUUUAGGAUUCCAUUUUUUCCGCAUCCAACAAACCCAACAUUUCCAAACCCAUAAGCAGCAAUAGUCCCAUAAAUCUAGAGACAACAAAAUCUUCUAUAGAUGCAGGAUUGCGCGAUCUUUUAGUUUCAAUUGGACAGAAAAUAAAUGACAUGA